CCAAUGUUCUUCUGGUCCUUAGUUACCCAAACCUAAAGCCUACCCUGGUAUUGGAAAGGGAAGAAUAUGAUAGGUACCCAAAAGACAGAUUAUGAUGGUAUGAGUUGGAAUCCUGACAGGAAGAGGUCACAAUCAUCUUUGAAGAGAAUUAAAUGAAAGAACUAGUCUCAGAGGUGCAGGUAGUUAAGGAUAAGUUAAGGAUACCCAGACCCCCGGAACUAGCUGCAGCAGGAUGCUUCUGCCAUCCUGGGCCGAAAAGGGAAAAGGGCAAGACUAUGUUACCAGAGCCUUAUGAGGAUCUCCAUUGACCAAAGCAAACUGAAACAAGCAACAGUCAUGGGAGUCCAGAGGCUGGGCUGUUGGCAGUGACUAAAGGAAUCAUCUAGUAGUUUAAAGAAGUCACGAAGGUUUUCAAAGGAACAGAGGAAGCUACAUGAAGAGAAAGGGGAAGCUCAAUUUACUGCAUAAAUUUUCUUUUCAAACGCUGUGAAGAUCACUUAGGAAGGAGAACAGUUUUGCAGUGAGGUUUGGGGAUUACAAGAAAAUUUCAAUUGGCCUAACUCACCAGUUUCCAGCAGCACCACCAUGACUAGACCUUCAAAGAGGAGAGAGAGACAGACUGUGAGCGGGGUACUGACAGAGAGAGAGAGACACAGAAUCUGAAGUAGGCUCCAGGCUCUGAGCUGUCAGGACAGAGCCCGACACGGGACUCAAAUCCAUGAGCGGUGGGAUCACGACCUGAAUUAAAGUCUGAUGCUUAACCAACUGAGCCACCCGGG